CGCAAUAGCUCAGUUGGUAGAGCGACGCAUUCGUAAUGCGUAGGUCACCGGUUCGAGUCCGGUUCGCG
rnacentral:tRNA from 1 species